rnacentral:rRNA from 1 species
AGAGUUUGAUCAUGGCUCAGGAUGAACGCUGGCGGCGUGCCUAACACAUGCAAGUCGAGCGAUUUACUUCGGUAAAGAGCGGCGGACGGGUGAGUAACGCUGGGUAACCUGCCCUGUACACACGGAUAACAUACCGAAAGGUAUGCUAAUACGAGAUAAUAUACUUUUAUCGCAUGGUAGAAGUAUCAAAGCUUUUGCGGUACAGGAUGGACCCGCGUCUGAUUAGCUAGUUGGUAAGGUAACGGCUUACCAAGGCGACGAUCAGUAGCCGACCUGAGAGGGUGAUCGGCCACAUUGGAACUGAGACACGGUCCAAACUCCUACGGGAGGCAGCAGUGGGGAAUAUUGCACAAUGGGCGAAAGCCUGAUGCAGCAACGCCGCGUGAGCGAUGAAGGCCUUCGGGUCGUAAAGCUCUGUCCUCAAGGAAGAUAAUGACGGUACUUGAGGAGGAAGCCCCGGCUAACUACGUG